GACGAACGCUGGCGGCGUGCCUAAUACAUGCAAGUCGAACGCUGAAGGCGGGGCUUGCUUCUCUGGAUGAGUUGCGAACGGGUGAGUAACGCGUAGGUAACCUGCCUGGUAGCGGGGGAUAACUAUUGGAAACGAUAGCUAAUACCGCAUAAUAUUGACUAUUGCAUGAUAGUCAGUUGAAAGGUGCAGCUGCACCACUACCAGAUGCACCUGCGGUGUAUUGGCUAGUGGGUGGGGUAACGGCGCACUAUGGCGAGGAUACAUAGCCGACCGGAGAGGGGGGUCGGCCAGACUGGGACGGUGACACGCCCCAGUGGGCUACGGAAGGGAGCAGGAGGGAAUCUUGGGGAAUGGGUGGAAGACUGAGCGCGCAACGCCGCAGGAGGGAAGAAGGUUGUCGGAUCGGAAAGCUCGGUUGUAAGGGAAGAACGAGUGUGAGAGUGGAAAGCUCACACUGUGACGGUAUCUGACCAGAAAGGGACGGCUAACUACGUG
rnacentral:rRNA from 1 species